rnacentral:misc_RNA from 1 species
UACUUCAGCAAUGAGGUUUAGUGAGCAGAUGAUACCAGGUUACAAAAACUUUAUUUUAGCUUUGUUUGAGGACCUGAGUCCUACGCAUGAUCCUGCAAAAAGUGAUGGCUUGAGCUCAAAUGGAGAUAUAAAGUUGCCUUGUCAAUCACCUGUGACAGAUGAGCUAGUUGGGCCAUCUCAAGCUGAUGUAUUUGACCCUUUGAAGAGAUCUGAUGGGAAUUCAUCCAAUGAGCAGCGAGGGAGAAACUAAGUAGGCUAAUCUGUCAAAUCACCUGUGACAAACAAGCUAGUUGGGACAUCUCUUUGACCCUUUAAAAGGGUCUGAUUCGAAAUUCACCCAACACGUACAGAGGGAGAAACCAAGUCCGCUGAUGUUUCCUUUACUCAAAGGGAAGCUUUUUUCAAUAUUGCUGCACCUUGUAUGAGUCAAACCUACUGAAUAGGAAGUUAUGAGCACUUGCUGUGGGACAACAGCUCAGGGAAACAUGUUUUGGGGCUGUUUCCGUUCAGGGAUUUGCAAAUGUUUGUUGGGAUACUGCGUGGGCAAAUCCAAACUUGAAUUGUUUCCGUUUGCUGGGAAUCAAGUAUGGGAUAGUGUGGAGAAGUUUCAACGCGACUGGGCUCUUCGAGGGACUGGGAUUUUGUUUGGUAGGUCAUACUCAGCUUCCUCUCCGAGGACAGUUUGCAAGAACAGGGUGUUGUUUGACUCUAUCUAUACCACGUUAAGGUGUCAAUUACGUAAGAUUUGAUUUUAAUCCUUCUCUUUUCCACAUAUGACUGAGAUCCCCCGUCCCGUCUCCUCCCCCAGAAUCAUUAUGUGAACUUUGUAGAAAUGAGGUGCAGAAAAAAUAGUAAUACAUUGCCACAAGGUAAC